GAUGAACGCUGGCGGCGUGCCUAAUACAUGCAAGUCGAGCGAACAGACGAGGAUCUUGCUCCUCUGACGUUAGCGGCGGACGGGUGAUUAACACGUGGAUAACCUACCUAUAAGACUGGGAUAACUUCGGGAAACCUGAGCUAAUACCGGAUAAGAUAUUGAACCGCAUGGUUCAAUAGUGAAAGACGGUUUUGCUGUCACUUAUAGAUGUAUCCGCGCCGCAUUAGCUAGUUGGUAAGGUAACGGCCUACCAAGGCAACGAUGCGUAGCCGACCUGAGAGGGUGAUCGGCCACACUGGAACUGAGACACGGUCCAGACUCCUACGGGAGGCAGCAGUAGGGAAUAUUCGGCAAUGGGCGAAAGCCUGACGGAGCAACGCCGCGUGAGUGAUGAAGGUCUUCGGAUCGUAAAACUCUGUUAUUAGGGAAGAACAAAUGUGUAAGUAAAUAUGCACGUCUUGACGGUACCUACUCAGAAAGCAACGGCUAACUACGUG
rnacentral:rRNA from 1 species